GGCUCCAUAGUGUAGUGGUUAGCACAUCUCCUUUACAUGCAGAAGGUCCUGGGUUUGCCCCCCAGGUGGAGCCA
rfam:Pteropus alecto contig168878, whole genome shotgun sequence.